rnacentral:rRNA from 1 species
AGAGAUGUGUGAUGACGCAUAUCAAUAAGCGGAGGAAAAGAAACUAACAUAGGAUUCCCUCAGUAACGGCGAGUGAAGCGGGAAGAGCUCAAAUUUGAAAUCUUCAAGGUUCUACCUUGACGAAUUGUAGUUUAAAGAAGUGUUUUCUGUUGGAGUUUUGGUAAAAGUUCUUUGGAAUAGGACAUCAUAGAGGGUGAGAAUCCCGUAUUUGACCAUUACUUUCCAGCUGUGUGAUACACUUUCAAAGAGUCGGAUUGUUUGGGAAUGCAGUCCAAAAUGGGUGGUAAAUUUCAUCUAAAGCUAAAUAUUGGCGAGAGACCGAUAGCGAACAAGUACCGUGAGGGAAAGAUGAAAAGAACUUUGAAAAGAGAGUUAAACAGUACGUGAAAUUGUCAAAAGGGAAGCGUUUGACACCAGUGUUGUUUUUCCGAAAAUCAAUUACGAAUGUUUUAGUUUUUGAGAAGUUAUGACUUCAUCGGCUUGCUUCUCUCUUUAUGAAACUUUCUUAAUGCACUUUUCGGUUAACAAGUCAACAUCAAUUUCUUUUGUUGUAAAAGGGUAUGAGGAAGGUGGCUUUCUUUUCGGAGAAAGUGUUUAUAGCCUUGUACCUCUGCAAUCGGAGAGAUUGAGGUCUGCAGCGUAGAUCCUUCGGGGUUAGAUACAUUUGUGCUAAGUUAUAGCUUUUCAUAGACAACUUGUUGACUAUGUUAAGUCUUGUAGCUUACUCGCUUAUGCUAUUUUACCUACGCUUAGGAUGUUGAGUCGUAGAGCACGCAG